rnacentral:misc_RNA from 1 species
CCCCACACACCUGCACCAGGUAGUCAGACCAACCUCAGCUACGCAGGGUUAAAGUCUUCAGCAGUAAAAUUCUCCUGUUAAAAAUUCUCAGCCUUAGAUCAAGUAAUAGUGUUUAGUUCAAGUGAGUACAGUACUGGAAACUAAUUCUCGGCAUUAUUCUGAAAAUUCUAAGCCAUUUUGAGCAUUUACGUGACCAUGACGUUGUAGAAAAUAUUGAUAAAUUCUACAGAUAAUAAUAUUUUAGCAUUUAAGUGAAUAAAGCUUUAAAAAUACUACCUCUUUAUACUGUGGAAAAUUCUCAGCAUUUAUUAUCGUUUCUGAGUGCCGAAAUGAGUAUUGAGUGCAAGAAAAUACUGUAGACAAUUCCCAGAGUUACUACAGAAUUUUGCGUCACACCGUCACUGUCCAUCCCCAGCGUCACGUCGUCACUGUCCAUCCCCAGCGUAACGUCGUCACACCGUCACUGUCCAUCCCCAGCGUAACGUCGUCACCCCGUCACUGUCCAUCUCCAGCGUCACGUCGUCACUGUCUCUCGUGGUGACAGAGGAGCGUCACCAUGACCGUCUCGUACACGUCACAAGUGUCUGACUGCCGUGGGUUUGGUUCCUUCUGGCGCCUACUGUUCAGGUGGAAGGGCAGCAUCUAUAAGCUAGUGUGGCCAGAUACAGUCGUCUACUGCAUGUUGUACUUCUUAUGUUCGCUGGUGUACAGGUUCGCCCUCAACGAAGAUCAGAGGAGGACCUUCGAGCACCUCUCCCUCUACUGCGACUACUUCAGGAACCUCAUCCCCAUCUCCUUCGUGCUGGGGUUCUACGUUACAGUGGUGGUACAGCGGUGGUGGGAACAGUAUCUCUGUAUCCCCUGGCCCGACGAUUUUGCCAUGGUCUGCGCGUCAUACAUAAGAGGAAAGCAAGGGACACCACGAGCACUUAGGGCGACUCUCAUACGGUAUGUGAACCUGGCUAGUCUCCUCACCUUUGCCAAGAUCUCCCCAAAGGUGCAAAAGAAGUUCCCAACCUAUAAGGAGAUUCUAGAAGCUGGAUACCUCACAGCCCACGAGAUGCGCAUCCUAGAGCAGCAGAAGGGGAGGACAAGCGUGCCCCUGGUGCUACUGCCGAUAAUGUGGUCGUGUAAGAUGGUAGAGAGUGCCACGACCUCUGGCUACGUCAGGGACAACUUCGGCUUAAAAUUCCUGCUGGAGGAGUUGAUUAAGUUGAGAAACAUGAACGGGAUGUUGCUCAGGUGGAACGACAUGAGCAUCCCUCUCGUCUACACGCAGGUGGUGACGAUGGCCGUGUACUCCUUCUUCUUCUUCUCAGUGUUGGGGCGACAGUUCCUGGACCCCCAACAGAAGUACACCAACAGGACCAUCGACUUCUUCAUCCCUAUCUUCACCCUGUUGCAGUUCUUCUUCUACAUGGGCUGGCUCAAGGUGGCCGAGUCGCUCGUCAAUCCCUUCGGUGAGGACGACGAUGACUUUGACCUUGACCUAAUACUCGAGCGUCACCUCAAGAUGUCUUACCUGAUGGGGGACGUGACGCCUAGUGAGGACCCCCUGAGCUUCGAUGACAGCAGCUUCGACAAGGCCAUCCCUGGACUCGUACCUGGGGCCAUGGAUGACCUGGGCCGCCUACAUGACCUGGGGAGGGAUGAACUGAACAGGGCUAAUCAUCAUCGAGGUGACCUGGGGCGUGAGGACCUGAAUAAGAUGAAAAAUAACUGCCGGAGUGACCAUGGGAGGGACGAGCAUGACCAGCGGAGGGGCAUGCACUUCCAGGGUAACUUAGGAUGGAGAGACAAAGGGAGGAGUGACCUGAAGCCGAGUAACCUGGGAGGGAUGCCAGCCGAGUGCUCCAGGUCGGCUGGGAGUGACCUGGACACAGUCAUCAUGUCUCCUGAUCCACCACAACAAGACAAGUUUAACUUCGUGUGGGAGGAGAUGGACCUCAGUGCUCCACAUGACUCCCCGAAGAAAACCAGAGACCUCGCCAACACACUUAAUGAUCCACACACAGGGUCAGGUAUAAGGGGCGAAGAAGUCGAAUUGGGCACUUCAUAUCAGGUCCACACCAAUCAGGGUCGUACCAGUCCAUAUCUUGCCAAUCAGGAUCAUGGCCACCAGACCCACGGAAAUCAGGGUCAUGCCAAUGCUAAUCAGGGUCGUGUCAGUCCCUACCCUAUUAAUAAUCAGGGACUUGGAAAUCAGGAACAUUCCACUCUACGCUCUGUGAGUCCAUAUCUUGGCAAUCAGGACCAUGACAACCAGAGUCAUGGAAAUCAGAUCAGUACCAACCCGGCCAUUACAAACGCCAAUCAUACCGCCCAAAGCUACGGAAAUCAGAGUAACGGAAAUCAAGUUCAGUCCAACAUGGUUAUUGCCAAUCAGGGGAACGGAAAUCAGGUACUGAGUAGCAGACAGCGACAACAAAAUACCCGAGAGAGUGAAAGCAACGUAGAUGGAAUUGAAAACCCAAUGUAUACGGAGUGACGUAAACAGGAACUGGAAGACUGUAUAAACAAACUAUGGAGCUGCUUAAUGACUCACUAGGAGGCUCAAACAACCACCAAGUGCCUAUAAGUGCCUCACAGGUGACAUACUGACAGUGCCAAGUGCUUAUAAGUGCCUCACAGGUGACAUAUUGACAGUGCCAAAUGACACCACACACUUACAAAUUACGAAUUCAAGUACUACACCUCGUUAAAUGAUCUUAAGUGGAUUAUGAUGUUAUAAGUGCCUUCAAUUGCCUGAGUUAUUCGAUGAAGGGGUUGUAACGGGCUGGACUGAUUAGUAGUGCCUGUCAGCCCAGCCGUGAGCUGAUUAGGUGACGGGUAAGUGAUCCAUAUGCCCGGUAGAGAAGGUAAUAUUUUAACUGGAAAAUACAGUACUUGGACAUAUAUUUGUGAGGUGCUGCUUGGCCCCACCUUCCUGCUGGUCAUCAGUGUACCAGCAUUAGUGACCAAUGUCAGGCGCAGGUAAUUUAUCUCUACAUUAAGCCACCAACCUCUGCCUCUAGUCAGUCAAGUUGUCCACAUGUCAGAGGCGCCACCAAGCUGACAGGCUGUAGACGUGAGGUGACAGCUGUUAUGACCUCACAUGACCUCACAUUGACACCAUUAAGUGAUGUGUGUGUUGAUAAUGUUGAUACAAACAAUAAAUAUGUUUUGUGAU